rnacentral:rRNA from 1 species
AUUGAACGCUGGCGGCAGGCCUAACACAUGCAAGUCGAGCGAGCGGCGGACGGGUGAGUAAUCCCUGGGAAUAUGCCUUAGCGUGGGGGAUAACUAUUGCAAACGCCAGCUAAUAUCGCAUACGCCCAGAUUAGCCCAGGUGAUAUUAGCUAGUUGGUGGGGUAAGGGCUCACCAAGGAGACGAGCUCUAGCUGGUCUGAGAGGAUGAGCAGCCACACGGGAACUGAGACACGGCCCAGACUCCUACGGGAGGCAGCAGUGGGGAAUGUUGGACAAUGGGGGAAAGCCUGAUCCAGCCAUCCCGCGUGUGUGAUGAAGGCCUUCGGGUUGUAAAGCACUUUUGGCAGGGAAGCGGUACCUGCAGAAUAAGCACCGGCUAACUACGUGCCAGCAGCCGCGGUAAUUC